GAUGAACGCUGGCGGCGUGCCUAAUACAUGCAAGUCGAGCGAACAGACGAGGAGCUUGCUCCUCUGACGUUAGCGGCGGACGGGUGAGUAACACGUGGAUAACCUACCUAUAAGACUGGGAUAACUUCGGGAAACCGGAGCUAAUACCGGAUAAUAUAUUGAACCGCAUGGUUCAAUAGUGAAAGACGGUUUUGCUGUCACUUAUAGAUGGAUCCGCGCCGCAUUAGCUAGUUGGUAAGGUAACGGCUUACCAAGGCAACGAUGCGUAGCCGACCUGAGAGGGUGGUAGGCCACACUGGAACUGGGACACGGUCCAGGCUCCUACGGGAGGCAGCAGUAGGGAAUCUUCCGCAGUGGGCGAAAGCCUGACGGAGCAACGCCACGUGAGUGAUGAAGGUCUUCGGAUCGUAAAACUCUGUUAUUGGGGGAGAACAAAUGUGUAAGUAACUAUGCACGUCUUGACGGUACCUAAUCAGAAAGCCACGGCUAACUACGUG
rnacentral:rRNA from 1 species